rnacentral:rRNA from 1 species
CGUAGGGACCAAGCGUUGUUCGGACUUACUGGGCGUAAAGGGCGCGUAGGCGGCUUGACAAGUCACUUGUGAAAUCUCCGGGCUUAACUCGGAACGGCCAAGUGAAACUGUCAUGCUAGAGUGCAGAAGGGGCAAUCGGAAUUCUUGGUGUAGCGGUGAAAUGCGUAGAUAUCAAGAGGAACACCUGAGGUGAAGACGGGUUGCUGGGCUGACACUGACGCUGAGGCGCGAAAGCCAGGGGAGCAAACGGGAUUAGAUACCCCCGGUAGUCCUGGCCCUAAACGAUGAAUACUUGGUGUCUGGAGUUAUUAGUGCUCCGGGUGCCGUCGCUAACGUUUUUAGUAUUCCGCCUGGGGAGUACGCUCGCAAGAGUG